UGAUAAUUAUAUUUAAUUGUAUAAUAUUGCUGUUCGAUUGAAACAACUUUAUUAAUGUUAAAUGUUUACCUGUUUAGGAUCUAUCAACAGAUUAAAGGCAUCUUGCGUUUGUGUCUAAUCAGCAUUAAAAAAAAUUUUGUGACACAGAACGAUAUACGUAGAUUCUAUUGUGAUUAUUAUCACGAUUUUAUUAUUCACUUGUAAAUUAAAUAUGAAUUACAAAGGCUCUUUGUACAUAAUGGUUGCAAUAAUGAUUGUUUUAUAUUACGUAUAAUAUACUACUGUGUAUCAAAUAAAUUAGUUAUAAUUUUAUUCUUUUAACUUUCCCAUAUAAAAGAGAGAGAAGAGAAAGAGAGGAUGAUACGAAGUGGUACUUGUGUAAGAAAAACGCGUGUUUAAAAAAAAAUAUAAAUAAGUUUUGUAGAUAUUCGCGUUUAUUCGCUCUUUCAGGUAUCUGCAUUAAAAUCUCAUGAUGAGGAAAUGGAAGCAGGAUUGCUAUUUUGAUGCGGAUUUUGUUCUAUGAAGGAAUGAUUUCUGUCUGCCAGAUAUCUCCUAGAAAUCGCUUCUGGAUGAUAUACAGACUGAAAUCAUUCUCUCACAGACGGAAUUUAUAGGAAAAAUUGUAAAUAAAAUUACAAAAUUAUAUAUAGUAUCCUACUUCUUAUUAUCCAAUAUGUGGACGCGAAAGAUUUAUUAUUGUAUUCGUGUUACACCUUGAUGAGAACGGCGCGACAGAAUAAAGUCGAUAAAGUGCAACAACCCCGUAAUCUCAGAUGGAAAUUCGGCUGCACUGUGGCUUUCAUAUAUGUUACAUGUAAGCGAAUUCAACAAAUUGCACUCGACGCGUCCAAAAUUAUCGACAGUAUC